rnacentral:rRNA from 1 species
GAUAAACGCUGGCGGCGUGCAUGAGACAUGCAAGUCGAACGAACGAGCUUGCUCGUUAGUGGCGGACGGCUGAGUAACGCGUAGGUGACCUGCCCCGAAGUGGGGGAUAACUGCCCGAAAGGGUGGCUAAUACCGCAUGUGGCGACACGUUCAUUCGUGUCAUCAAAGCCGCGAGGCGCUUCGGGAGGGGCCUGCGUCCGAUUAGCUCGUUGGUGGGGUAAUGGCUCACCAAGGCGACGAUCGGUAGGUGGUCUGAGAGGACGAUCACCCAGACUGGGACUGAGACACGGCCCAGACUCCUACGGGAGGCAGCAGUCGGGAAUUUUGCUCAAUGGGCGAAAGCCUGAAGCAGCAACGCCGCGUGAGGGAUGAAGGCCUUCGGGUUGUAAACCUCUUUUCUCAGGGACGAUGAUGACGGUACCUGAGGAAUAAGUCACGGCUAACUACGUGCCAGCAGCCGCCGUAAUAC